GGGGGGGGUGCUAUACAUGCAGUCGAGCGAAUGGAUUAAGAGCUUGCUCUUAUGAAGUUAGCGGCGGACGGGUGAGUAACACGUGGGUAACCUGCCCAUAAGACUGGGAUAACUCCGGGAAACCGGGGCUAAUACCGGAUAACAUUUUGAACCGCAUGGUUCGAAAUUGAAAGGCGGCUUCGGCUGUCACUUAUGGAUGGACCCGCGUCGCAUUAGCUAGUUGGUGAGGUAACGGCUCACCAAGGCAACGAUGCGUAGCCGACCUGAGAGGGUGAUCGGCCACACUGGGACUGAGACACGGCCCAGACUCCUACGGGAGGCAGCAGUAGGGAAUCUUCCGCAAUGGACGAAAGUCUGACGGAGCAACGCCGCGUGAGUGAUGAAGGCUUUCGGGUCGUAAAACUCUGUUGUUAGGGAAGAACAAGUGCUAGUUGAAUAAGCUGGCACCUUGACGGUACCUAACCAGAAAGCCACGGCUAACUACGUGCCAGCAGCCGCGGUAAUACGUAGGUGGCAAGCGUUAUCCGGAAUUAUUGGGCGUAAAGCGCGCGCAGGUGGUUUCUUAAGUCUGAUGUGAAAGCCCACGGCUCAACCGUGGAGGGUCAUUGGAAACUGGGAGACUUGAGUGCAGAAGAGGAAAGUGGAAUUCCAUGUGUAGCGGUGAAAUGCGUAGAGAUAUGGAGGAACACCAGUGGCGAAGGCGACUUUCUGGUCUGUAACUGACACUGAGGCGCGAAAGCGUGGGGAGCAAACAGGAUUAGA
rnacentral:rRNA from 1 species